rnacentral:rRNA from 2 species
ACGGGAGGCAGCAGUUGGGAAUAUUGGACAAUGGAGGAAACUCUGAUCCAGUGACGCCGCGUGAAGGAAGAAGGUCUUCGGAUUGUAAACUUAUUUUGUCAGGGAAGAAACAAAUGACUGUACCUGAAGAAAAAGCACCGGCUAACUACGUGCCAGCAGCCGCGGUAAUACGUAGGGUGCAAGCGUUAUCCGGAUUUACUGGGUGUAAAGGGCGAGUAGACGGCGAUGCAAGUCAGAUGUGAAAUCCUGGGGCUCAACUCCAGAACUGCAUCUGAAACUGCAUUGCUAGAGUGCAGGAGAGGUAAGCGGAAUUCCUAGUGUAGCGGUGAAAUGCGUAGAUAUUAGGAAGAACAUCAGUGGCGAAGGCGGCUUACUGGACUGUAACUGACGUUGAGGCGCGAAAGCGUGGGGAGCAAACAGGAUUAGAUACCCUGGUA